ensembl:lncRNA
GUUGAUUUCAUAUUUGUUUUGACUCAUGUUGGCACGAGGGCCUGGUAUACAAACUGAUGGGAAGUGGUGUUGGGGGAAAAACAAAUGGCAUUAUAAAAUCCAUGUACACAAACAACAAGUGUGUGGUUAAAAAUGGCAAAAAACACACAUUUCCUUCCACAGGGCCGUGGGGUGAGACAGGGAUGCAGCUUAAGCCCCAUCCUCUUCAACAUACAUAUCAAUGAAUUGGCGAGGGCACCAGAACAGUCUGCAGCACCCGGCCUCACCCUACUAGAAUCUGAAGUCAAAUGUCUACUGAUGAUCUGGUGCUUCUGUCACCAACCAAGGAGGGCCUACAGCAGCACCUAGAUCUUCUGCAUAGAUUCUGUCAGACUUGGGCCCUGACAGUAAAUCUCAGUAAGACCAAAAUAAUGGUGUUCCAAAAAAGGUCCAGUCACCAGGACCACAAAUACAAAUUCCAUCUAGACACUGUUGCCCUAGAGCACACAAAAAACUAUACAUACCUUGGCCUAAACAUCAGCGCCACAGGUAACUUCCACAAAGCUGUGAACGAUCUGAGAGACAAGGCAAGAAGGGCAGUCUAUAACAUCAAAAGGAAGAUAAAAUCUAACAUCCCAGUUAAGAUCUGCCUAAAAAUACAUGAAUCAGUUAUAGAACCCAUUUCCCUUUAUGGUUGUGAGGUCUGGGGUUAGAGACACAUUAGAGACACAUAUUUCCCCUCAGAUUACACAGACCCACAAAGAAUUAGAAAACAAACCCAAUUCUGAUAAACUCCCAUAUCUACUGGGUGAAAUACCACAGUGUGCCGUCACAGCAGCAAGAUUUGUGACCUGUUGCCACAGGAAAAGGGCAACCAGUGAAGAACAAACCCCAUUGUAAAUACAACCCAUAUUUAUGAUGAUUUAUUUUCCCUUUUGUACUUUAACUAUUUGCACAUCAUUACAACACUGUUUAUAUACAUAAUAUGACAUUUGUAAUGUCUUUAUUCUUUUGGAACUUCUGUGUGUGUAAUGUUUACUGUUCAUUUUUAUUGUUUAUUACACUUUUGUAUAUUAUCUACCUUACUUGCUUUGGCAAUGUAACACGUUUCCCAUGUCAAUAAAGCCCCUUGAAUUGAAUUGAAUUGAAUUGAGAUGUGGCGGCAGGGAGGUCAGGCGCAGGAGAGUGAACUUGGUCAACAAGUACGGAGCAGUUUAAUAAAAAAUUGAAAAACUCUGGAAACAUAAACAAUAUACAAAAAUAAGACAAGACCCAUCGCACACCAGAACAUAACUUGAACCAAUACAAACAACAAACAACACAAUACGAAAACAAACAAUCAACAACAAGGACGUGAGGGGGAACAGAGGGUUAAAUACACAACAUGUAAUGGUUGGGAUUGGAACCAGGUGUGAUGGAAGACAAGACAAAACAAAUGGAAAAUGAAAAGAGGAUCAGCGAUGGCUAGAAGACCGGUGACGUCGACAGCCGAACAAGGAGAGGGACCGACUUCAGAGGAAGUCGUGACAGAGAGAGAGAGAGAGACCAUAGAUAGAGAAUAAAUAUUGGGAACAAGAAUCUGUCAACAGUUUGCUACCACUUCCUGCCAGCAGGACUCAAACACUUCCUCUCUACUGCUGCUACAACUCAUAUAAACCUUGAUGGAACAAACCAAGAGCAGAGAGAGGAGAAGAUUCAGGAGGUUUCUACACUGGACAGACACACUGAUUAGAGUCGUCCUGGCUGUGGGAUGUCCUCUUCCACAUCAGACACACUGAUUAGAGUCGUCCUGGCUGUGGGAUGUCCUCUUCCUCAUCAGACACUCUGAUUAGAGUUGUCCUGGCUGUGGGAUGUCCUCUUCAUCAUCAGACAAACUGAUUAGAGUUGUCCUGGCUGUGGGAUGUCCUCUUCCUCAUCAGACAUACUGAUUAGAGUUGUCCUGGCUGUGGGAUGUCCUAUUCCUCAUCAGACACACUGAUUAGAGUUGUCCUGGCUGUGGGAUGUCCUCUUCCUCAUCAGACAAACUGAUUAGAGUCGUCCUGGCUGUGGGAUGUCCUCUUCCUCAUCAGACACUCUGAUUAGAGUCGUCCUGGCUGUGGGAUGUCCUCUUCCUCAUCAGACAAACUGAUUAGAGUUUUCCUGGCUGUGGGAUGUCCUCUUCCUCAUCAGACACUCUGAUUAGAGUUGUCCUGGCUGUGGGAUGUCCUCUUCCUCAUCAGACAAACUGAUUAGAGUUGUCCUGGCUGUG